CCUACGGGAGGCAGCAGUGAGGAAUAUUGGUCAAUGGACGAGAGUCUGAACCAGCCAAGUAGCGUGAAGGAUGACUGCCCUCUGGGUUGUAAACUUCUUUUAUAUGGGAAUAAAAUGUUCCACGUGUGGGAUUUUGUAUGUACCAUAUGAAUAAGGAUCGGCUAACUCCGUGCCAGCAGCCGCGGUAAUACGGAGGAACCGAGCGUUAUCCGGAUUUAGUGGGUUUAAAGGGAGCGUAGGUGGAUUUUUAAGUCAGUUGUGAAAGUUUGCGGCUCAACCGUAAAAUUGCAGUUGAAACUGGCAGUCUUGAGUACAGUAGAGGUGGGCGGAAUUCGUGGUGUAGCGGUGAAAUGCUUAGAUAUCACGAAGAACUCCGAUUGCGAAGGCAGCUCACUGGACUGCAACUGACACUGAGGCUCGAAAGUGUGGGUAUCAAACAGGAUUAGAUACCCUUGUAGUC
rnacentral:rRNA from 1 species